CCUACGGGAGGCAGCAGUGAGGAAUCUUGGUCAAUGGCCGAGAGGCUGAACCAGCCAAGUCGCGUGAGGGAAGAAUGUCCUCUGGUUUGUAAACCUCGUUUGUCAGGGAGCAAAGUCACCCACGUGUGGGUUUUGGAGAGUACCUGAAGAAAAAGCAUAGGCUAACGCCGUGCCAGCAGCCGCGGUAAUACUGAGGAUUCGAGCGUUAUCCGGAUUUAGUGGGUUUAAAGGGUGCGUAGGCGGGUUAUCAAGUCAGCGGUAAAAUCUUGGAGCUAAACUACAUCCAGCCGUUGAGACUGAUGAUCGUGAGUGGGCGAGAAGUAUGCGGAAUGCGUGGUGUAGCGGUGAAAUGCAUAGAUAUCACGCAGAACUCCGAUUGCGAAGGCAGCAUACCGGCGCCCGACUGACGCUGAAGCACGAAAGCGUGGGUAUCGAACAGGAUUAGAUACCCGAGUAGUC
rnacentral:rRNA from 1 species